GAUGAAGAACGUAGCGAAAUGCGAUAAGUAAUGUGAAUUGCAGAAUUCAGUGAAUCAUCGAAUCUUUGAACGCACAUUGCGCCCGCCAGCAUUCUGGCGGGCAUGCCUGUUCGAGCGUCAUUUCAACCCUCGAGCCCCCCCGGGGGCCUCGGUGUUGGGGGACGGCACACCAGCCGCCCCCGAAAUGCAGUGGCGACCCCGCCGCAGCCUCCCCUGCGUAGUAGCACACACCUCGCACCGGAGCGCGGAGGCGGUCACGCCGUAAAACGCCCAACUUUCUUAGAGUUGACCUCGGAUCAGGUAGGAAUACCCGCUGAACUUAAGCAUAUCAAUAAAGCGGAGGA
rnacentral:misc_RNA from 1 species